rnacentral:rRNA from 1 species
UACGUAGGUGGCAAGCGUUGUCCGGAUUUACUGGGCGUAAAGAGCGCGCAGGCGGUCGGAUAAGUCGAAUGUGAAAGCCCCUAGCUCAACCAGGGAGGGUCAUUCGAUACUGUCCGACUCGAAGGCAGGAGAGGGAAGUGGAAUUCCGGGUGUAGUGGUGAAAUGCGUAGAUAUCCGGAGGAACACCAGUGGCGAAGGCGACUUUCUGGCCUGUUCUUGACGCUGAGGCGCGAAAGCUAGGGGAGCAAACGGG